rnacentral:rRNA from 1 species
CAGCCGCCGCGGUAAUACGUAGGGGGCAAGCGUUCCUCGGAAUUACUGGGCGUAAAGGGUGAGUAGGCGGCUGGGCAAGUCAAGGAUGAAAUCCCGAGGCUCAACUUCGGAACUGUCCUUGAAACUGCUCAGCUUGAGGGUAGUUGAGGAGAGCGGAAUUUCCGGUGGAGCGGUGAAAUGCGUAGAUAUCGGGAGGAACACCUGAGGCGAAGGCGGCUCUCUAAGCUACUCCUGACGCUGAAUCACGAAAGCUAGGGGAGCAAACGGGAUUAGAUACCCCGGUAGUCCUAGCCGUAAACGAUGGGCACUAGGUGUGGGGGAGUAUUUCCUCCGUGCUGUAGCUAACGCGUUAAGUGGGCCGCCUGGGGAGUACGCCCGCAAGGGUGAAACUUAAAGGAAUUGGCGGG